AGGAGUUUGAUCCUGGCUCAGAGCGAACGUUAGCGGCGGGCCUAACACAUGCAAGUCGAGCGAGAAAAGGGCUUCGGCCCUUAGUAAAGCGGCGGACGGGUGAGUAACACGUAGGUAAUCUUCCCUUGAGCGGGGGACAACGAGCCGAAAGGCUCGCUAAUACCGCAUAAGUUCCUUAGGUCCUCGGAUCUUUGGAGGAAAGCUAGGUAGCAAUAUCCGGCACUCGAGGAGGAGCCUGCGUAGCAUCAGCUAGUUGGUGGGGUAAUAGCCUACCAAGGCGAAGACGCUUAGCUGGUCUGAGAGGAUGAUCAGCCACACUGAAACUGAGACACGGUUCAGACUCCUACGGGAGGCAGCAGUGGGGAAUAUUGGACAAUGGGCGCAAGCCUGAUCCAGCCACGCCGCGUGAGUGAUGAAGGCCUUCGGGUCGUAAAGCUCUGUGGGGAGGGACGAACCGCCGGUGGUUAAUACCCACCGGCAUGACGGUACCUCCUUAGCAAGCACCGGCUAACUUCGUGCCAGCAGCCGCGGUAAUACGAAGGGUGCAAACGUUGCUCGGAAUUAUUGGGCGUAAAGCGCACGUAGGCGGCCUUUGAAGUGGA
rnacentral:rRNA from 1 species